rnacentral:rRNA from 1 species
GACGGGGGGGGCAAGUGUUCUUCGGAAUGACUGGGCGUAAAGGGCACGUAGGCGGUGAAUCGGGUUGAAAGUGAAAGUCGCCAAAAACUGGCGGAAUGCUCUCGAAACCAAUUCACUUGAGUGAGACAGAGGAGAGUGGAAUUUCGUGUGUAGGGGUGAAAUCCGGAGAUCUACGAAGGAACGCCAAAAGCGAAGGCAGCUCUCUGGGUCCCUACCGACGCUGAGGAGCGAAAGCGUGGGGAGCGAACAGG